GACGAACGCUGGCGGCGUGCCUAACACAUGCAAGUCGAGCGAAUGAAAUUCCUUCGGGAAUGGAUUUAGCGGCGGACGGGUGAGUAACACGUGGGCAACUUGCCUCAUAGAGGGGAAUAGCCUUCCGAAAGGGAGAUUAAUACCGCAUAAGAUUGUAGUAUCGCAUGAUACAGCAAUUAAAGGAGCAAUCCGCUAUGAGAUGGGCCCGCGGCGCAUUAGCUAGUUGGUGAGGUAACGGCUCACCAAGGCGACGAUGCGUAGCCGACCUGAGCGGGUGAUCGGCCACAUUGGGACUGAGACACGGCCCAGACUCCUACGGGAGGCAGCAGUGGGGAAUAUUGCACAAUGGGGGAAACCCUGAUGCAGCAACGCCGCGUGAGUGAUGACGGCCUUCGGGUUGUAAAGCUCUGUCUUCAGGGACGAUAAUGACGGUACCUGAGGAGGAAGCCACGGCUAACUACGUGCCAGCCGCCGCGGUAA
rnacentral:rRNA from 1 species